rnacentral:rRNA from 1 species
UACGUAGGGACCAAGCGUUGUUCGGAUUUACUGGGCGUAAAGGGCGCGUAGGCGGCAUGACAAGUCACUUGUGAAAUCUCCGGGCUUAACUCGGAACGGCCAAGUGAUACUGUCGCGCUAGAGUGCGGAAGGGGCAAUCAGAAUUCUUGGUGUAGCGGUGAAAUGCGUAGAUAUCAAGAGGAAUACCUGAGGUGAAGACGGGUUGCUAGGCCGACACUGACGCUGAGGAGCGAAAGCCAGGGGGAACAAACGGG